AUGGUCCGGCAGUAUCGAAGCUAACGCGUUAAGUUCUCCGCCUGGGGAGUACGGCCGCAAGGCUAAAACUUAAAGGAAUUGACGGGGACCCGCACAAGCGGUGGAUUAUGUGGUUCAAUUCGAUGCAACGCGAAGAACCUUACCUACCCUUGAAAUCCUCGGAAUCCUGCAGAGAUGUGGGAGUGCCUUCGGGAACCGAGUGACAGGUGCUGCAUGGCUGUCGUCAGCUCGUGUCGUGAGAUGUUGGGUUAAGUCCCGCAACGAGCGCAACCCUCGCCUUUAGUUGCCAGCAUUUGGUUGGGUACUCUAAAGGAACCGCCGGUGAUAAGCCGGAGGAAGGUGGGGAUGACGUCAAGUCCUCAUGGCCCUUACGCGCUGGGCUACACACGUGCUACAAUGGCGACUACAGUGGGCUGCAACCGUGCGAGCGGUAGCUAAUCUCCAAAAGUCGUCUCAGUUCGGAUUGUUCUCUGCAACUCGAGAGCAUGAAGGCGGAAUCGCUAGUAAUCGCGG
rnacentral:rRNA from 1 species